GUUCGUAUUAUAUUUGUAUACAUUUUGCAUCUCAAUGGAUUCAAUGCAAUGAACGUAUGAAUAUUUUGUAAUUCGAUAAUCAAGAAAGCUUCCGAUUCAGAUACGUUUUGUUGAAAACUGAUAACGGCGCGUAAGAAUAAUCACUUUGACGAGUAAAGCGAUAUGUGGAUAAUUAAAAGGUACAAAAUGUCGUGGCAAUCAGGAAACGACAGAUUUUCCUCGCAUCCAUGUCGUAACAACAUUUCUUCGCGUCUAAUUCGAAUUACAGUUUUGUGCUACUUUAAGAAGGAGAUUUAUAACUGUUAAAUUACCAAUACCUUUUCGUUUUAUACAAUAAUCGCAACCACGAUAUAAUCAACAUCAUAUGCUAAGCAAUUUCAUUCCUCGCUCAUUGCUCUUCCUCUCUCCUCUUUCUUCACGUUCUCCUCGUUCAAUCCAAUUUUAUCCUUUUCUCUCGAUUGAAGUAAUUAAAAAAUUCUUCGACACUUCAUAAAUUCCAGAAUAUUUUUCCUGCGACGUUCCCGUGGGAGGUCCAGGCUGCGAUGAAAUUCUCGAGGAGCAAAGGCCACGGAGGCCGAAAGGGGUUGAAAGCUUGAUUGCAGGAUCAAUCGAGCGCCACUUAAAAUUUCGGAUAGUUUUACGGGCGACCGUCCUUCGUUAACGUUCGACUAAUUUUAUGACUGACUCAGCACCGUUGGAUCGCAGCUACGAUCCUUCUUUG
rnacentral:lncRNA from 1 species